CGCUAAUGUGUUUGGUAUAAUUUCAUAUAUUAGCUUUUUAAAUUAUAUUCAUCUAAGUCCAGUAAGUUGGAUAAUAUGUUAUUUUAAUUUUUUUCAGCUGUUUCUUCUCAUUUCACCCAAGACCUCUUGCCAGAGCAUGGUAUAAAAGAUUCAUUUCAAAAAGUGAUACUGAGAAGAUAUGGAAGCUAUGGCAUUGAGAAUUUACAAUUAAAGAAAGAUUGGGAAAGUGUGGGUGAAUCUAAGGUGCAGAAAGAAUGUUGUAAUGGACUUAACCAAUCUUUAUCAACUACACAUACCAAAAUCUUUCAAUUUAAUAAAUGUGUGAAAGUCUUUAGUAAAUCGUCAAAUCUAAAUAGACAUAAGAUAAGACAUACUGGAGAGAUAUCUUCCAACUGUAAAGAAUGUGACAAUUCCUUUUACAUAUCCUCAGUUCUAACUCCACUUCAGAGAAUCCACACUGCAGAGAAAUCCUACAAGUGUAAACAAUGUGGGAAAGCCUUUAGGCACUGCUCAUGCUUUCUUGAACAUGAGACAAUUCAUAAUGAAGAGAAACAUUACAAAUGUAAAGAAUGUGGAAAAGUCUUUAAAUCCUUCACAAGCCUUUCUAAUCACAUUAUAAUUCAUACUGGAAAGAAACUCUAUAAAUGUGAAGAAUGUGGCAAAGCUUUUAACCACAGUUCAAACCAUGCCAAACAUAAGAAAAUUCACACUGGACAGAAACCCCAUAAAUGUGAAGAAUGUGGCAAAGCCUUUAACUGGUUCUCAUACCUAACUCUACAUAAAAGAAUUCAUACUGGAGAGAAACCCUACAAAUGUGAUGAAUGUGGCAAAGCUUUUAACCAGUGUUCAAACCUCACUAAACAUAAGAGAAUUCAUACUGGAGAGAAACCCUACAAAUGUGAAGAAUGUGGCAAAGCUUUUAACCGGUGCUCACACCUUACUGAACAUAAAAGAAUUCAUACUGGAGAGAAGCCCUAUAAAUGUGAAGAAUGUGGUAAAGUCUUUAUAUCUUGUUCAAGCCUUUCAAACCAUAAGAGAAUUCAUACAAGAGAGAAAUGCUACAAAUCUGAAGAAUGUGGCAAAACCUUUAACCACUGCUCAGACCUCAAUGUACCUGAGAAAAUUCAUACCUGAGAAAAAUCCUACAAAUGUAAAAAAUGUGGCAAAGCCUUUAAUACCUGCUCAUGUCUUACUCAGGACCAGAGUUCAUAUUGAACUAAAGAAUUAUAAAUAUAAUGACUGUCACAACACCUUUCACAGAAAAAAAUAAUUUUACCACAGAUUAAUUUGUUCAUUAAUGGAACUUUAAUUCUGUGGUUUUUUUUUUUUUUUUUUGGUCUACAUAAAUCUGUCCUUAUGCCAGUACUAUAUUGUUUAAUUACUGUAACAUUGUAGUAAGAAUUUAUAUCAGGAGUGUAAGUUACUGAAUUUUGUUAUUUUUCAGAAUUCUUGUGUGUUUGAUUUUCUUUAUAUGUUUAUAUGGAUUUUAGGAAGAGCUUGUCAAUUUAUAUUAAAGAAAAGCUACAUUGGAAUUUGCAUUGAAUCUGUAGAUAAAUUUGUUGGGUAUUUUGAUCUUCAUAUUCAGUAUUGCUAUAUUUGAAUAUUGAGUAUAUCUCAGUUUAUUCAGCUCUUUGAUUUCUUUCAGCAUUUUAAAUAAUUUUCAGUGUAUAGUAUGUGCAGUUAUUUUGUUAAGUUCAUUUCUAAUUUUUUUUUCUAGGAUACUAUUAAUGAAAUUUUAAUUUAAUUCUUAUUUUGUUUAUUCCUAUAAUAUAAAAGUACUAUCUAACCUUGUAUGUUGAUCUUGUGGCAUUGAUGAACUUCUAUAUUAGCUCAAGUAGGUUUUUAUUUAUUUAUUACUUUAUUUUAUUUUAUUUUAUUAUUAUUUUUUUUUGAGACAGAGUCUCACUCUGUCACCCAGGCUGGAGUGCAGUGGCCGGAUCUCGGCUCACUACAAGCUCUGCCUCCUGGGUUCACGCCAUUCUCCUGCCUCAACCUCCCGAGUAGCUGGGACUACAGGCGCCUGCCACUGUGCCCGGCUAAUUUUUUGUAUUUUUAGUAGAGACAGGGUUUCACCAUAUUAGCCAGGAUGGUCUCGAUCUCCUGACCUUGUUAUCUGCCCGCCUCGACCUCCCAAAGUGCUGGGAUUACAGGCGUGAGUCACCAUGCCCAGCCUCAAGUAGGUUUUUAAUGAAUUUCUUAUACUUUUAAAAUACAACAUUAUGGCAAUAAAAGACUAUUCCACUUCUUUUCUAAUCUGGAGAUUGUAUUGAUUUUUCUAGUGUAAUUUUCUGGCUCAUACCUCCAGUACAAUGGUGAAUAGUGGUAUAAGUAGAAAUUCUCGUCCUGUUUUCAAACUUGCAGAUAAAGCCCCUAGUCAUUCACCAUUAAGUAUAUUAGCUUUUGGUGUGGAGUUUUUCAUCUUGGCUCACUGCAGCCUCAACCUCUUAAGCUCAAGUGAUCCUCCCACCUUAACUGCCUGAGUAGUUGGGACAAUAGGCAUGCACCACCAUGCCCAGAUAAUUUUUUUUUUAAUAUUUUGUAAAGAUGGGGAUUCCCUAUAUUGUCCAGAAUGGUCUUGAACUCCUGGCUUUAUGCAGUCUUUCCACCUCAGCCUCCCAAAGUUCUGGGUUACAGGUGUGAGCCACUGCGCCGGGCCAAUUUUGGUUUUUCAUGGAGGACUUUUAGCAGGUCUCAAAAGUUUUCUUCUAAUAGUUUUCUUGGUGUUCUAUCAUUCAUAGGUGUUGAAUUUACCAAACUUUUUCUAUUUCAAGUAUUACAUUUUUACUUUGUUCAAGUAAUAUUGUAUCAUAUUAAAUGAACAUUGCAUUGUGAAAAUACCCUGCUUAGUCAUGGUAUGUAAUCAUCCUUAUACCUUUUUGUAUUCUUUUUUUAAAUAUUUCUGAGAAUUUCUGUGUCUAAAUUUAAAUAGGAUGUUGUUUCGUAAUCAUCUUGUGAUUCUUUUGUCUCCUUUGGGUAUUAUUGGCUAAUAGAUGAAUUAAGAAAUGUUACCUCUUCUACUGCUUGAAGUUUUUGUGAGAAAUUGAUGUUUUUCAUUAAGUGUUGAUGAAAUGUACAACUUAAGCAGUUUAUAACAGCUAUUCUAUCUAAAAAGAUAUAAUUUUUUUGUUCUAUGGAUAUAAGUAUAUUCUAUUAUAUAUAUAAUGAAACAAUUCAUAGGAUGUUUUUUCAGUUUACUUUUGUAAUCCAUCUCUAUCGGUAUUUUUUAUUUCAUAGUAUGUCAUGAACAAUUAUUCUAGGCACUUGACAUGGAAUAAUUUGAAAAAAUAGAGAAUGAGUCCCGUACUACAAUCAAUAAAUAACUCAAAAUUUUUUCCAUUUUUAGGAUGAAGAAUAUGAAUAUAGUUCUGUUACGUAAUAUUUGUGUUUACUGUGUGAGACAAAUGAGUUACUGAAUGUAAAAAUAAUUAGUAAAACUGCCCUUUGAUUUUGGAAUGUAUGAAGCAGGCAAAUGCCCCUACCUUCUAUUUUUAUCAAUAUUUAGAUAAGGCAGACAAAUAAAUUUUAAUAAGAUAUACAGAAUAAUCUUGUAUUUGAAGAAUGCUAUGAAAAAAGAUAGUUUGGAGGAGUAGUUAGUAUUUGGCUCAUAUAAUGUGUUAGGUAACUAUUCUAAGCCAUUAAACAUUUGUAUGCUUAAUACCUAAGAGUUUAAAGUGAAGAAAUCAAAGAUUCAUUGAAAAAGAAAAAUUAAAUUUUAAAAAAAUUCUAUUUUUAAUUGAAAAAUAAUAGUUGUAUAUAUCUGUCUACAGUGUAAUAUUUUGAUAUAUGUUUAUGUUGUAAAAUGAUUAAAUCAAGUUAAUGUUUAUAACCUCAUAUAAUUUUUGUGGUGAAAACAUGGAAAAUAGUCUUUAUAGCAGUUUUGAAAUACACAUUGUAGUCACCAUUCUGUGCAAUUGAUCACUAAAUCUUAUUUCUCCUAAGUGAAACUUGGUACACUUUGAAGAACAUUUCCCCUCUUUUUAUUCACCCCAUCUCCUAGCCUCUGUCACAUUUUCAUUCAUACUAGGUAACAUUAAGAUCAUUAUGGAAAUUAACUUUUUGGUGCCCCACAACUAAAUGAACAUAAAUAAUGUUAACUUUGUUAGGAAGUUAUAGUAAUUACGCAUAGGAACAAACGGCAGCUAUUUUUGCCAGUAAACAAAGGAUGCGCAUUAUUUUCAAAUAUUAGAUAUAAGUAUUUUAGGUGGUAAAGUCUUAGGCCUAAAAUACGUCAUUGAGUUUAUUACCCCAGAAACCCAGCAGGUCAUAUUUUCUGAACAUUGUAAAUAACAAUAGAAAUUAUAUACUAAAAUGUUACCAGCAAGUACUAUCUCACCACAUGAAAAUUGCAUUGAAAUUUUUUAAUCUGUGGUUCAAAUGGAAGACUCAAAGAGAUUCUUUUAUGGAUUCAGG
rnacentral:lncRNA from 1 species